UACAGGACGACGCUGGCGGCGUGCCUAAUACAUGCAAGUCGAACGGCUUUUCUAUGGAAGCUUGCUUCCACUGAGAAGAUAGUGGCGAACGGGUGAGUAACACGUGGGUAACCUGCCCAUAAGAGGGGGGAUAACAUCCGGAAACGGGUGCUAAUACCGCAUAGUUUUCUUGAUCGCAUGAUUGAGAAAGGAAAGACGGCCUUUGUGCUGUCGCUUAUGGAUGGACCCGCGGCGUAUUAGUUAGUUGGUGAGGUAACGGCUCACCAAGACGAUGAUACGUAGCCGACCUGAGAGGGUGAUCGGCCACAUUGGGACUGAGACACGGCCCAAACUCCUACGGGAGGCAGCAGUAGGGAAUCUUCCGCAAUGGACGAAAGUCUGACGGAGCAACGCCGCGUGAGUGAAGAAAGGUUUUCGGAUCGUAAAACUCUGUUGUCAGAGAAGAACAAGUUGGAGAGUAACUGCUCCAGCCUUGACGGUAUCUGACCAGAAAGCCACGGCUAACUACGUGCCAGCCGCUGC
rnacentral:rRNA from 1 species